AUUGAACGCUGGCGGCAGGCCUAACACAUGCAAGUCGAGCGGAUGAAGGGAGCUUGCUCCUGGAUUCAGCGGCGGACGGGUGAGUAAUGCCUAGGAAUCUGCCUGGUAGUGGGGGAUAACGUCCGGAAGCGGGCGCUAAUACCGCAUACGUCCUGAGGGAGAAAGUGGGGGAUCUUCGGACCUCACGCUAUCAGAUGAGCCUAGGUCGGAUUAGCUAGUUGGUGGGGUAAAGGCCUACCAAGGCGACGAUCCGUAACUGGUCUGAGAGGAUGAUCAGUCACACUGGAACUGAGACACGGUCCAGACUCCUACGGGAGGCAGCAGUGGGGAAUAUUGGACAAUGGGCGAAAGCCUGAUCCAGCCAUGCCGCGUGUAUGAAGAAGGUCUUCGGAUUGUAAAGCACUUUAAGUUGGGAGGAAGGGCAGUAAGUUAAUACCUUGCUGUUUUGACGUUACCAACAGAAUAAGCACCGGCUAACUUCGUG
rnacentral:rRNA from 1 species